CCUACGGGAGGCAGCAGUGAGGAAUAUUGGUCAAUGGGCGCGAGCCUGAACCAGCCAAGUCGCGUGAGGGAAGACGGCCCUACGGGUUGUAAACCUCUUUUGCCGGGGAGCAACGGGCGCCACGUGUGGCGCCACCGAGAGUACCCGGAGAAAAAGCAUCGGCUAACUCCGUGCCAGCCGCCGCGGUAAUACGGAGGAUGCGUGCGUUAUCCGAAUUUAUUGGGUUUAAGGGGUGCGUAGGCGGGGCGUUAAGUCAGUGGUAAAAUUGAGGGGCUCAACCCCUUCCCGCCAUUGAAACUGGCGCACUUGAGUGGAAGAGAAGUAUGCGGAAUGCGUGGUGUAGCGGUGAAAUGCAUAGAUAUCACGCAGAACCCCGAUUGCGAAGGCAGCAUGCCGGCUUCCGACUGACGCUGAAGCACGAAAGCGUGGGGAUCGAACAGGAUUAGAUACCCGAGUAGUC
rnacentral:rRNA from 1 species